ACUCUCGGCAAUAGAUAUGUCGGCUCUCGUAUCAUCGAAGAAUAUAACAAAAUGCGAUACUUGGUGUGAAUUGCAAAAUCCCUUGAACUAUAGAGUAUUUGGAUGCAAGUUAUGGCCAAAGCUAUAAGGCAGAGGGAACGUCUGUCGGGGCAUCAUGCAUUGCGUCGCCCCCCUUGCAACGCACCUCAAUCACGGGGCUCGCUGUUGUCUUAGGACAGAUACUGGUCUCCCGUGCACCUCGAGCUUGCGGCUGGCCUAAAUACGAGUCCAUGUCAACGGACUUCGUGACAAGUUGUAGUUGUAUCUCAACUCUCUUUGUUGUCGCGGGUAUAGACCAUCGGGCAUUCGGACUCCAAGACCCUUUCGCGCUUAGGCACUCCAACCGCGACCACAGGUCAGGCGGGAUUACCCGCUGAGUUUAAUCAUAUUAAUAAGCGGAGGAAAAGAAACUUACAACGAUUCCCUUAGUAACGGGGAGCGAAUCGGGAAUAGCCCAGCCUUAGAAUCGGGUGGCUCCAUUGUCCGAAUUAUACUUUUGAGAAGCGUCCUCAGCGGCGGACUGGCCCCAUGUCCCCUGGAAGGGGGCGCCAGAGAGGGUGAGAGUCCCAUUAUUCUUGAAACCUGUCGCACCAUGAGGCACUAUCUACGAGUUGGGUUAUUUGGGAAUGCAGCCCAAAUCGGGCAGUGAAUUCCAUCUAAGGCUAAAUACGGGCGACAGACCAAUAGCGAACAAGUACCGCAAGGGAAAGAUGAAAAGGAAUUUGAAAAGAGAGUCAAAGAGUGCUUGAAAUUAUUAGGAGAGAAGCGGAUGGGGGCUGGAGAUACGCCCCCAUUGGAUGUAGAAUGACGAUGAGCCGAUCUGCCGAUCGACUCGGGGAGUGGACCAGCGUGGACUGGGGGGGCAGAUAAAGCUCAGCUCUCGAUACGCUCGUGGAAUGCUGUCUCUUAAAUUAUGGUAGGCAGCAUGUGCCUCCAGCAUUUUUAGGCAUCUGCGCUCUAUGGACACUGGCCUGCGGGAUCCCCAUUCAACCCGUCUUGAAAAACAAAAAAAGGAGUAUGACAUGUGUGCGAGUCAAUGGGCGAGUAAACUCGUAAGGUGUAAGGAAGCUGAUUGGUGGUAUCCCCUCGAGGGGUGCACCGCUGACCGACGUUGAUCUUCUAAGAACGGUUGGAGUGUGAGCAUACCUGUUGGGACCUGAAAGAUGGUAAACUAUUCUUGAGCAUGGCAAAGCCAGAGGAAACUCUGGUGGGGGCCCACAGCGGUACUAACAUGUAAAUCGUUCAUCUGACUUGGUUGUAGGACCCGCGACUUCUUUGUCGAGCCGGGCCGCGGAAUGCCAUCCACACCCGGUGGUACUCAUAACCUCAUCAGGUCUCCAAGGGGAACAACUUUCGGUCGACGAAAUAAUGUAGGCAAGGGAAGUUGGCAAAAUAGAUCCGUAACUUCUGGAAAAGGAUUGGCACUGAGGGCUGGGCAUGGGGGUCCCAGUCCCAAACCCAUCGUAUGUCAGUGGACUACUCGAGCUACUCCUGUAGUGGGAGCGGGUUGUCGUGUUUCGGUCGGGGGACGGACUGGGAAUGGUUCUUUCGGGGGCCUUCCCCGCUCGUCGAACAGCCAACUCAAAACUGGUACAGACAAGGGGAAUCUGACUGUUUAAUUAAAACAAAGUUUUGCGAUGGUCCUAACGGAUGUUAACGCAUUGUGAUUUCUGCCCAGUUCUUUAAUGUCAAAGCGAACAAAUUCAACCAAGCAUCGGUAAAUGGAGGGAGUAACUAUGAAUCUCUUAAGGUAGUCAAAUGCCUCGUCAUCUAAUUAGUGAUGCACAUAAAUGGAUUAACGAGAUUCCCACUAUCGCUGUUUACUAUCCAGCAAAACCACAGCCAAGGGAACGGGCUUGGCAGAAUCAGCCGGGAAAGAAGACCCUCUUGAGCUUGACUCUACUCCAACUUUGUAAAAUGACUUGAGAGGUGUAGUAUAAAUGGGAGCCGAAAGGCGAAAGUGAAAUACCACUACUUUUAACGUUAUUUUACUUAUUCCGUGAAUCGGAAGUGGGGCACUACCCCUCUUUUUGGACCCAAGGCUCGCUCUGCGGGCUGAUUCGGGAGGAAGACAUUGUUAGGUGGGGAGUUUGGCUGGGACAGCACAUCUGUUAAAACAUAACGCAGGUGUCCUAAUAUAAGCUCAACAACAACUAAAAUAUCGUAUGGAACAGAAGGGUAAAAGCUCAUUUGAUUCUGAUUUCUAGUACGAAUACGAACCAUGAAAGCAUGGCCUAACGAUCUUUUAGUCCUUCGAAAUUCGAAGCUAGAGGUGUCAGAAAAGUGUUACCACAGGUAUAACUGGCCUGUUGCUGCCAAGCAUUCAUAGUAACAUUGCUUUUUUAUCCUUCGAUGUCGGCUCUUCCUAUUAUUGUAAAGCAGAAUUAACCAAGUGUUGGACUGUUCACCCAUCAUUAGGGAACGUGAGCUAGGUUUAGAUCAUCGUGAGACAGGUUAGUUUUAGCCUACUUAUGACAGUGUCGCAGUAGUAAUUCAACCUAGUGCGUGAGGAAACGUUGAUUCACACAAUUUGUCAUCGCACUUCGGUGAAAAGCUAGUGGCGCAAAGCUACCAUGUGCUAUAUUAUGACUGAACGCCUCUUAGUAAGAAUUCGGGCUAGAAGCGGUGCAUGUGCCCGCUGUCCACUUGCCGACCCACAGUAGGGGCCUUGGCCUCCAAGGGCACUUGU
rnacentral:rRNA from 1 species